CGGCGGACGGGUGAGUAACGCGUGGGUAACCUACCCUGUACACACGGAUAACAUACGAAAGGUAUGCUAAUACGGGAUAAUAUAUUUGAGAGGCAUCUCUUGAAUAUCAAAGGUGAGCCAGUACAGGAUGGACCCGCGUCUGAUUAGCUAGUUGGUAAGGUAACGGCUUACCAAGGCGACGAUCAGUAGCCGACCUGAGAGGGUGAUCGGCCACAUUGGAACUGAGACACGGUCCAA
rnacentral:rRNA from 1 species